GUCCAAGGAAAGCUGCAGAAGUGGAUGCACUGCUUGUUAUUUCAGAGGCAGGAAAUCCCUCUGUUCCCGAUGGCCAAAGGACAGGGCAGCAGAAGGAGGCAAAAUGGAGCAGCAUCCACCUCUGACUUGGAGCACCCACCCCUGACUUGGAGCACCCAUGAUCAGGACCUCUGGAUGAACGAACUUGAGCAACCUUAAGCUCCUGGUGCAAUGAGGUUUUUUGGGAGUGUCAUUACUGAAACUGCAGAAGAUAUUUAGAAG
rnacentral:lncRNA from 1 species